UCCCUGGUGGUCCAGUGGUUAGGACACAGCGCUUUCACUGACAUGGCCUAGGUUCGAUUCCUGGUUGGGGAA
rnacentral:tRNA from 1 species